CCAUCAGCUUCCUGGAAGAUGCCAUUGAGACCCCAGGCCUGAUCCCCACCUCCACUGGAAAUCUUGAUUUUGGUGUGGAACUCAGUCCAACUUAUGGACUCUUAGUCAAGCCACCAUCUAACACAUGUCUGCUUCCUGGAAAAAAUCAAGGGCUCUGAGUCAGCAAUUU